UAUGGCUGGGCACUGCAUUGACGUGCCUUGGGGUUGAAGCUAGGCUUCUUGGCCUGGUGUACCUCCCUUCCUAUGGCUUCUCUUAACCAUGGUUAGUGUUUGUAACGCCCUAUGUAGGUCUGUUUCUUGUCGUCGCUACCAAUUUUUUUUUUUUAUAUUAAGUUAGUGGAUUAGUAGGUAUUCUACCGGCGGGGUGUUUCUAAUGAUCUUCCUGUCAGUAGGGUGUGGGCAUAUUGUCUGCAUGCGGGCAGGAUAUUGAAUGCGUAUCGCUCUUAUCCUCCCUCUGGAUACCCAGUUG